GACAGAGGGUGCAAGCGUUGUUCGGAAUCACUGGGCGUAAAGCGCACGUAGGCGGCUAGGUAAGUCGACUGUGAAAUCCCAAGGCUCAACCUUGGAACUGCAGCCGAUACUGCCUAGCUUGAGUUCCGGAGAGGUUGGUGGAAUUCCUGGUGUAGAGGUGAAAUUCGUAGAUAUCAGGAGGAACACCGGUGGCGAAGGCGACCAACUGGACGGAAACUGACGCUGAGGUGCGAAAGCGUGGGGAGCAAACAGG
rnacentral:rRNA from 1 species